GCUUGGUAAGUGCCUGGGCAGAUCCCCAAGUCUCUUGGUCCCCAAGUGCCCUCCUGGGGGGCAGCUGGGGUCUGGGAGGCCUUGGGACGUGGCUGUAGCUGGGUUAGUCGGCCGGCCUGAAACCCACUCCCUGGGUCUGGGCAGACUGGCCCCAAACUCCAGAGGCCACCCCUCACCCGCCAGCCGCUGCCUCUGUGCUGCGGGAUGUGCUGACUAUAAGGCGUCCCCCACCCCCAGAAUUCUGCUAAUCCCCAAGAAGGGACAGAUCCUCUGGCAGAGACAGUGGCAGACAAGAAGAGCCAGAAGUGGGGUGGGGGUAUCAGCACCCCCAGCAGCUGCUGCUGCCUGCUGACCCAGCCUCCAGCUUCUCCCAGUUCUGGGCUCUGUGGCGAGUGGCUUGGGGGCGCUACCUGACACAGGAGACCACGUCUGGGCAGAGAGUGGCUGCGGGUGGCGUCUGUGGCCCGUGGCACACACCCAGGGCCUCCCCCCGAUGCUGGUUACAGUUUGGGCUACAGUGGCCACAGCUGCCCUGCCCCUCCUUGCGGCCGUGCUGGGCGUUACCAUGGUCGCCUGCAGGGACACCGAGGGGCCAGGCAGAGCAGCCCUUGCUCACCUCACCUCACCGGAGCCCCUGCCAGAAGGGAAGGUGGGCACCUCUGGGAGGAAGGGACUGCCAGGCCUUGGGGCUUCCUGUGCUGAGUCAGAGCAGGAGCGGGAGACGCGGGAGCUCCGCAGCCGCGGCAGGUGCAGAUUUGGCGCUGCCAAGUGGCGUAGGUCCCCUUGGCCAGCACCCAGUGCCCCUUUCUUCUGCCCCCAGGGUCUUGGCUUCACAGGAUGGGGCUGCCAGUGUCCUGGGCUCCUCCUGCCCUCUGGGUUCUAGGGUGCUGCGCCCUGCUCCUCUGGCUGUGGUCGCUGUGCACAGCCUGCCGCAGGCCUGAGGACGCUCUAGCCCCCAGGAAGAGGGUGCGGAGGCAGCGGGCGAGGCUGCAGGGCAGUGCGAUGGGAGCGGAAGCGCAAGUCGGACACCAGACUGCACGAGCUGCACCGGGGCCCGCGCAGCAGCAGGGCCCUGCGGCCUGCCAGCAUGGAUCUCCUGCGCCCACACUGGCUGGAGGUGUCCAGGGACAUUACCGGACCGCAGGCAGCCCUCUCUGCCUUCCCGCUCCAGGAGCUGCCCUGGGCUCUGCCGGCAGCUGCAGCCACCGCAAGGUGCGCUGGCCCCGAGGCCACCUAUUCCAACGUGGGGCUGGCGGCCCUCCCCGGGGUCAGCUUGGCGGCCAGCCCUGUGGUGGCUGAGUAUGCCCGCGUCCAGAAGCGCAAAGGGACCCAACGCAGCCCCCAAGAGCCACAGCUGGGGAAGGCUGAGGUGACCCCGGCCGCUCAGGUGGACGUCCUGUACUCCAGGGUCUGCAAGCCUAAAAGGAGGGACCCAGGACCCACCACAGACCCGCUGAACCCCAAGGGCCAGGGAGCGAUUCUGGCCCUGGCGAGUGACCUGGCCUACGCGACCCUCCCGCUCAGGGCCCUGGAUGCGGACAGCAGCCCCCUGGAAAACGUGUAUGAGAGCAUCCGGGAGCUGGGGGACCCUGCUGGCAGGAGCAGCACGUGCGGGACUCGGACGCCCCCUGCUUCCAGCUGCCCCAGCCUAGGGAGGGGCUGGAGACCCCUCCCUGCCCCGAACACUCAAGGACUUGCGCUCCGGCCUCCAGAGAGGCCCGUCCCCCGCCCCGCCCCGCCUCACAGCUGACAGCGCCAGUCCCAGGUCCCGGGCUGCCAGCCCGUGAGGUCCGUGAGGUCCUGGCCGCUCUGACAGCCGCGGCCUCCUCGAGCUCCAGAGAAGGCCCGCGUCUAAAUAAAGCGCCCUCGCAGGAGGAACGCA